UGCCGAUGAAGUACGAGUCGUUCAAGGAAUCAACGAAAUGUGCGGGCGCUUGAAUGACUCCAUGGCUGACGCCCGUGGCCACCUGCUACACGCCAGUGCGAAAGAAACUAAAGCACUGUGGGGGCUGCAGGGUGGCUUUGCCAGUAGGAAGGGCGGAAAUUCCUGAAGAUGUAUUCAUCCAUGCUGCAUCAGCUGCUUGGUGUUUUCAUAGCAUCUCUGCACAUGUGCUGGGUUGAUCUUAAGCAGAAAACCAGAAGCGGCAGUGGUCUCCAGUAGAGACCCAAGGACCCCAAGCUCUCUGUGACACAAACAGGAAGGGCACUGUGGUGCAUUGAAAACCUGCUCCAGUAGUGCAUUACCAGUGCACUAUGCUGCUGUUUCAUCAAGGAGAAAGGAGGUGACCACCCUCAGAGGAACUUCAUGCUCUACAGUACAGUCCUUACUGCAUUUCGUGGUCUUGGAUCUCGGGAUUCAGUAUGCUUUUGAGUGUCACGUGGAGAAGUGUGGAAGGCGUUCCUCCAUGGAAGAGCGGUGACCGGAGCGUGAGCUGAUACCUGGCAGACAAGCUGGAUGUCAUUGCAACUGGUGGCGUAAGGAGAAGACAACAAGAUGCUUGUGUGGUUGUGCGUGCCGGGACUUGAUUGCGUCUUUUCUCAGACUACACUGUUUUUACUUGUACACAUGUAAAAUAAAUAUUGUUUGCUCAAUUUGAGAUAUCAGAAACUACUGUACAAGUCAGUUUUCACCUUACAGAAAAUAGAUUUUAGUGUCCCCAAAUGGACGGUACGAAAUCCUAAUGGGAUCUGAUGCGGAAACCGAAUAUAUUAAAACUGCGUCCUGCAGUUUCCGCAUGACCACAAUUCCGCAUGGCAUUCAUAUCAUACGGCAUCCGUAAUACCAUAUUUCCAUAUAUAUGGAUGCCAUAUAUACGGAGCUUUUGAUGCGGAAACCAUAUAUAUGGAUCGUGCGGAUCCGUAUCUUGCGGAUCCAUACCAUGCGGAUCCGUAAUACCAUAAUUC